UCUGUAUUUUCAACUUCAUUUCUUUAGGGUCAGACCUUUAAUAAGAAGAUAUGGUACCUUAUACUAUGAGUAAUCCUCUUUGAAGUAAGGGCUGACUAAGGGUAUUGCAGUCUUCCCCUUAACAAGUGACCCUUGGUAGCACACCUACCUCAGACCAGAAAGAGGAAAAAAGUGUGAUGCACUGAGAACACGAUGAGAAGGUUUGCUAUCUUUCUUAAAUUAAUAAAAUUUAUUUUUGACUAUUAAUUUUUAAAACAAGUUAGCUGAUUUUUCAGUUGAUUUUUCAUUUCAGUUUGACAGCUCUCCAUUGUCUUACAGGGACUCUCCGAUUGCUAUAAAUUGGUGCUGUGGUAAAGAAAGAAGCUUCUUAAAGUUGGUUCACUCUCUCCUCAGCAGUCUGGUCAGAUUCUUUGAAGUGCCUGUAGAAAGACGACCAGGAAGAAGUACAGCUCAAAAAAGACAGAAGACUCCCUAGGUAAAAUCUGUUGGAUUCUCCUGCAUAUGAGGAGUUGAGGAAAAAUCUAGGACUGGACCAUGUGAUGACAUGGAAAUGCUGGAUUACGUUUCAUUCCAUCCUUGUUUCAGGGGGUCUCUCAAAUCAAGAGCUGUGUCUGUGUCUGGCGUUCUAGAAGAUCUUGGGUAUAGGGCACCACUGUAGCUUGAGUGAGUGUGGUUCUGCGGACAAGUGACAGCAACAGAAGCUGAAAGCUGGAAAUGGUCUCCCAAAGGCUCUGAGGCUGAAAUCUGAGGCUUAAAAAGAACAAUG
rnacentral:lncRNA from 1 species